CAAGGAUUCCCAUAGUAACGGCGAGUGAACUGGGAUGAGCUCAGCGCUGAAUCACACAGUAUAACUACUGUCGUGAACUGUGGCGUAUAGGUGUAACUGCAUCGACAGCUAUCCGCACACUCAAAGUUCCCUUGAGUGGGGCUACUUCCGUAGAAGGUGCAAGACCUGUAUGAGUGGCUGGUGGUUGCCGAUAUUGGUUACUGCUUCAGAGUCGAGUUGCCUGGGAACGCAGCUCAAAGUCGGUGGUAAACCUCAUCUAAAGCUAAAUAUGACUUCGAGACCGAUAGCGAACAAGUACCGUGAGGGAAAGUUGCAAAGAACUUCGAAGGGAGAGUUCAAAAGGACGUGAAACCACUAGGGGGGAAGCGGAUAGAGUUAACAGCAUGAUGACGGCAUUCAGCCGAUGGCCGCAACGAGCGGUAUGCACAGUGUUCCGAAGCAAUCCGGCGCUUGCAUACUUGUAACGUACGUGCGAUCGGUGCUUUUGCCGUCAUUGGCGCGCUGAGGCACUCAGGGUGAUGUGUUGCAGGAUAUCGGCAGAGGACUGUGCUGCUCGUCAGUGCAGAACCCUACGAUAUCGUAAAGGCAUAUUCGCUGUGAGCGCAUGCAAUUAUGGCUCUACCCGCAAUAGCGCAUAAACGCAGCUGUGAUCGCAUUGGCUGUUGCCAGUGGCUUUGUCACUGUGUUUCUAGUCCGAGUGUGACCGUGGUCGCGUUUCAUGC
rnacentral:rRNA from 1 species